UUGGCAACAGAGCAAGACUCUGUAUCUAAAACAAAAACAAAAAAAUACCAGGGUAACCCCUAUAGUUGCAAAUGCCUCCAUAGGCCACUCUUUUGUUACCUCGAAGUCUGAAGUGGAAGCCAGCACUGUGUGUCACCCACCUAAGAGGCCUCAGGGCUCUUAAGGAGUCCCUCUGAUCCAUCCUCUGUACGCCCUUACUGGCCCUCCAACCUGCUCCCUUCAUGGCCUCUAGGACAGUGCCCUCCAAAUGCAGAGCUGAUCACAUCAAUCCCAGCUAAAACUUUCCAGGGGCUUCCCUGACUAUCAGAGUAAAAUCCAACACACACUCACUGCCAGCCCAGCCCGACGGGCCCCUGCUGAUCGCACCUUUCAGAUGCCCCCUGACUGCCACGCCUGGCACUCGGGCCAUCUCACUGUUCCUGGAAUCUGCCUUAGGGCCUUUUCCCUUAUAGGACCUCAGUGUAUCCAUCAAGCCUCAGAGGAAAUGUCUCUUCCUCACACAGGCCAUUCCUGAUGGCCUGGUUUAAUGUUCUCCUACCCCUCGCUUUCCAUCACGUCGUUCUGAUUCCUGCCAGCACAGCCUCUAUCACAAUUAGAAGCCACUGCGUUUGUUUCUGAUUUCUCUGUUCAUUGCUUGUCAGCUCCUUGAGAUCAGGGCCUCUGUCCAUCUUGCUCAGUGCUGUAGCUUCAGCACCUGGCACGGAGUGGGUGCCCAGUAGAUAUAUGCUGAAUGAAUGAAUGAGUAAAUUCCACUGGGGGCAACCAGCAAGAGAAGGUGAAUGAAAUAGACAACAGGAGCUGCUUCUUGGCACCUGUGUCCCCGGGGAGCGUGGGCUCCCUCUUUCCACUGGGAAUCCUAAGAAGCAAACGUGUGUCGAGGAGGCCCCUGUAAGCUGCUGCUUGCAGAUCCUUGUGUCAUCGUUAACCACUUGAAUAUUGCAUUUUUUUUUUUUACCAAGGCUUCUCGUGGCCCCCAAGGAGGCCCACCCUCUGGAACCUCUGGGAUGCAGCUCCAGUCUCCAAGUGGUGGCCCUGGCAACGGGUCCUGGGAGCACUGAGUCCUCGGGGCUCUCUCCAGCUCCUCCUGGUCCCUUGGGUCUUUGGUGGCCUCUGCUCAGCAACCUGAGCCGAGCCCCAGCCCGAGAGGGGACACGUCCCUGAGGGAAGGGACUGGAAAGUGAGACUCCGGGGUCAGGGCCCUCCUAGGAAGGAACUCGGAGGGAGGGGAGGUUUGCCUGGGAGUUGUCCAGCUCCAAUCACGCAGAGGCCCGUCCCCAGGGCCCCGCACCCACGGGGGCUGAGCCCAGGGAGGCAGCAGGCUGUGUUGUCAAAGGAAGCCUCAAGUCACUGGGAAGUUGCUGGGAAAAGUUUGCCAGCACUCUCCCCCAGGUGCCCUCUGGGCCUCUGGGCCCCUGGGUCCCUGCUUCUCCAAGGAGGACAGAAACAUGGGUCCCCUGAGGCCUCAUGCCUGGCUGGCCUCACUCUUUCCGAGGAGGGUCUCAAGAGCCGAGAGCUCAAGGAGAAUUAGACCCUAGGCCUGAGAGAGCCCACCGGGUGGAGGUCCACCGUAUCCAACCCUCCCAAGACAGUAUUUUAUCAUCUACAGUCAGGAAGUGCUUCCUUAGGUCCGGCUGCCGCCCCUUCUGCUUUCAUGAAGGUAUGUUCUACAAACGUGGUAUCCAAAGGUCAGGCCAUAUCUGUAUCUUGGGUGAUAAGGAAGUCUGCUUUAAAGACCAGACACUUGAGGAUCCAGUGUUUGGAGGUAAGGAAGUGUCAGAAAACUGGAAGGUGCUGUCUUCCCUCCUUCUUUGCCUUUUUACUUGAGCAAGACUGAGCAGGGAAUGGAAGGGUGGGGAGUUGGAGUUGGAGUACGGCUGCCACCCUGCUCCUUCUGCUGUGUGGCCUCUGGAAGGGACCGGAGCUCUCGGAGCCUGCAGGUCCACAUCUUUAACGAGGGUGGCAUCUGGGUACUCAUUUCAAGGGUGGGAUUACACGGGACAACUAGUGAGCCUUGAGUCCCGCGGUAGCUGCUACUAAUGUAGCCACUAGCACAUCCUCCAAGGCAAGCUUUGCCCUGCAAAGAGUGUGCAGGGGGCCAGGCCUUCCUCCUCUCCCCCCUCUGGGCUUACAGAACCUAAAUGUGCAUAUUCUCCGCAGCUAGAGAAGACAGUGUGGAGGCUGGGGAAAGGAGGAGCAGCCACCCUCUCUCUUCCUCUCCCACACAGUGGGCGCUUAUUCAUUCAACAGACACCACUGCAACCAGCUUGUGUCCCAGGUGCCAAAGUGGGAGCCACUUUCACCAGCUGGGACUCACCAAGGAGGCCACUGGCAAGUCACCAGGUCACCAGGUCCUGAGCUGAAGUGAGAAGUGGACCAAGAUGGAUGAAGCUUCAGAAAGCUUGCACUCUGGGGGAGAAGCAGGACAUAGAGACUCAGAAAUGACAGUGCCUACAUCUCUCUGGACUCUCAAAGGCCCCAAGGUGCAGGCUCUAAACCCGAGAAGACUCCUGUGUCCACGUGGACUUGCUGUGACCUGGGCAAGGUGUCCCUUCUCUGAGCAUCAGUUUCACUCUCAGCUGCAACAUUCCAGGACACCUUGAUUCUCACUGCUACCACGAAGAUGCUCUGGGAGUGAUGAAACACACACCGCAGGCCCUACCCUGAGCCCACUCAGCCAAUGACACCCUCUUGCCAGCACGCAGCCUCUCCUCCCUGUACUGGUGGCCUUGCAAAUCAUUGUACAUAUGGAUUCCCUUCAGGGUGAGCCGUGAGACUUCCUCCGACCUGGGACUCCAGAGGGCAGCUGUGCCAGCACCCCUUCCCCUUCUGCCUCACCUCACUAUCAUAGAACCUCCUUCUCAUCACCCCUCCUCUGUGAGUUCCUAAGGAUCAGAUACCCGGAUAUGCCA